rnacentral:rRNA from 1 species
CCUACGGGAGGCAGCAGUGGGGAAUAUUGGACAAUGGGGGGAACCCUGAUCCAGCGACGCCGCGUGAGUGAAGAAGUAUUUCGGUAUGUAAAGCUCUAUCAGCAGGGAAGAAAGAAAUGACGGUACCUGACUAAGAAGCCCCGACUAACUACGUGCCAGCAGCCGCGGGAAUACGUAGGGGGCAAGCGUUAUCCGGAUUUACUGGGUGUAAAGGGAGCGUAGACGGCGAUGCAAGUCUGAAGUGAAAGGCGGGGGCCCAACCCCCGGACUGCUUUGGAAACUGUAUGGCUGGAGUGCAGGAGAGGUAAGUGGAAGUCCUAGUGUAGCGGUGAAAUGCGUAGAUAUUAGGAGGAACACCAGUGGCGAAGGCGGCUUACUGGACUGUAACUGACGUUGAGGCUCGAAAGCGUGGGGAGCAAACAGGAUUAGAUACCCGAGUAGUC